UAAAAUGGGGUCAAGUUACAAAGGAAAAAGGAAAAGUUCACUGGAACAACUCAUCACUUUCUCUAUUUUCAGUUCCAUAUGUGACAUCAAAAGAGAAAAAAAAAAUUAUUGAAAGAAAGAGAUACCAGAGAAGGGAUGCCCGUAGCCUUAACGAGCAUAUAAGCUAGGAAAUUUUGUGGCAACUCCAAAGAAUUUCAAGAAUUAGUUUAAACAAUUUCUAGUUGAAAGUUUGAACAUCAAGAGGCUCAGAUCCUCAGGAUAGCAGACGUCCACGUUAGGCCCUAUUGGCAUUUUCAGCUGAUAUUUUGGUGAGCUCCAUCUCUCCUUGGAGAUGGUCUAUGCAUAGUAUUAUGAUUACAUGUACAGGCCCCUAGUUGGGCAUGACGGGCCUUAUGCCAACUAUUCACUUGUAGUAUAGCGUGUUAAAAUUGGCUAGAGGCUUUAUGGACAUUAUGUAGUAGUGUAUUGUACAGUCUUAUUAAUACAACCCUCUCGUGUAUGUAUAUAUCUUAUGUUGGGUAUCGUGCUCACUGUUGUCUCA